rnacentral:rRNA from 1 species
CCUACGGGCGGCAGCAGUGAGGAAUAUUGGUCAAUGGACGCAAGUCUGAACCAGCCAUGUCGCGUGCAGGAUGACGGAUCUAUGAGUUGUAAACUGCUUUUGUACGGGGGUAAACGCAGAAACGCGUAUCUUUUUGAAUGUAUCGUAUGAAUAAGGAUCGGCUAACUCCGUGCCAGCAGCCGCGGUAAUCCGGAGGAUUCAAGCGUUAUCCGGAUUUAUUGGGUUUAAAGGGUGCGUAGGUGGUCGAAUAAGUUAGCGGUGAAAGUUUGUGGCUCAACUUCAGAAUUGCCGCUGAUACUGGUUGACUUGAGAAUAUUUGAGGUAGGCGGAAUGUAUGGUGUAGCGGUGAAAUGCAUAGAGAUCACACAGAACUCCGAUUGCGAAGGCAGCUUACCAAGCUAUUUCUGACGUUGAAGCACGAAAGCGUGGGGAGCAAACAGGAUUAGAUACCCCAGUAGUC